rnacentral:rRNA from 1 species
GAACGCUGGCGGCGUGCCUAACACAUGCAAGUCGAACGGAGUUCCUUCGGGACGUUAGUGGCGAACGGGUGAGUAACGCGUGAAGAACCUGCCUUUCAGUGGGGGACAACAGUUGGAAACGACUGCUAAUACCGCAUAAUGUUAUUUGAGGGCAUCCUCGGAUAACCAAAGAUUUAUUGCUGAAAGAUGGCUUCGCGUCUGAUUAGCUAGAUGGCGGGGUAACGGCCCACCAUGGCGACGAUCAGUAGCCGGUCUGAGAGGAUGAACGGCCACAUUGGAACUGAGAUACGGUCCAGACUCCUACGGGAGGCAGCAGUGGGGAAUAUUGGGCAAUGGGCGAAAGCCUGACCCAGCGACGCCGCGUGAAGGAAGAAGGUCUUCGGAUUGUAAACUUCUUUUGUCAGGGAAGAGUAGAAGACGGUACCUGGCGAAUAAGCCACGGCUAACUACGUG